GACUCCGAUGAUGAUUAAACAUUAAACUUUCGUUCUUCUGAGUUUACAAGCAUUGCGGAAUAAAAAUGGAGACCUGAACUGAGGAGUU